UGGUUUGAUUCUGGCUCAGGAUGAACGCUGGCGGCAUGCCUAAUACAUGCAAGUCGAACGGAGUGAAGCCUUCGGGUUUCAUUCAGUGGCGAACGGGUGAGUAAUACGCAGGGAACCUGGCCAUGGCAGGGGGAUACACUCUGGAAACGGAGCAUAAGACCCCAUAGGCAGUAAGGCGGCAUCGCCUUGCUGUUAAAGAAAGCUGAAAGGCUUUGGCGAUGGAUGGACCUGCGGUGCAUUAGCUUGUUGGUGAGGCAACGGCUUACCAAGGCGAUGAUGCAUAGCCGGCCUGAGAGGGCGGACGGCCACACUGGGACUGAGACACGGCCCAGACUCCUGCGGGAGGCAGCAGUAGGGAAUUUUCGUCAAUGGGCGCAAGCCUGAACGAGCAAUGCCGCGUGAGUGAGGAAGGUCUUCGGACUGUAAAGCUCUGUUGCCGGGGAAAAAGGGGAAAUGCAGGAAAUGGCAUUUCAUGGAUGGUACCCGGCCAGAAAGCCACGGCUAACUACGUGCCAGCAGCCGCGGUAAUACGUAGGUGGCGAGCGUUAUCCGGAAUGAUUGGGCGUAAAGGGUGCGCAGGCGGUCUGUUAAGUCUGAAGGCAAAGGGAUGAGCUCAACUCAUUUAUGAUUCAGAAACUGGCAGACUUGAGGACAGGAGAGGGCGGUGGAACUCCAUGUGUAGCGGUAAAAUGCGCAGAGAUAUGGAAGAACACCAGUGGCGAAGGCGACCGCCUGGCCUGUGACUGACGCUGAGGCACGAAAGCGUGGGGAGCAAAUAGGAUUAGAUACCCUAGUAGUCCACGCCGUAAACGAUGAGGAGCAGGUGUUGGGAGUGAAAUCUCAGUGCCGAAGCCAACGCAGUGACUCCUCCGCCUGGGGAGUAUGCACGCAAGUGUGAAACUCAAAGGAAUUGACGGGGGCCCGCACAAGCGGUGGAGUAUGUGGUUUAAUUCGAAGCAACGCGAAGAACCUUACCAGGUUUUGACAUCGGAUGCGAAGGCGCAGAGAUGCGCUGGAGGCUAUCAUCCAGACAGGUGGUGCAUGGUUGUCGUCAGCUCGUGUCGUGAGAUGUUCAGUUAAGUCUGGCAACGAGCGCAACCCCCGUGGUAUGUUACUAACGCAUUUGGGCGAGGACUCAUAUCAGACUGCCGGUGACAAACCGGAGGAAGGCGGGGAUGACGUCAAAUCAUCAUGCCCCUUAUGACCUGGGCUACACACGUACUACAAUGGCGUCUACAGAGGGAAGCGACCCUGAGAAGGGAAGCGAAACCGGAAAAGGGCGUCCCAGUUCGGAUUGAAGUCUGCAACCCGACUUCAUGAAGAUGGAAUCGCUAGUAAUCGCGGAUCAGCAUGCCGCGGUGAAUACGUUCCCGGGCCUUGUACACACCGCCCGUCAAACCAUGGAAGCCGGCAACGCCCGAAGCCGGUGGCAUAACCUUUUAGGAGUGAGCCGUCGAAGGCGGGGCCGAUGACUGGGGUUAAGUCGUAACAAGGUACCC
rnacentral:rRNA from 1 species